AGGGAUUUUUAUAUAAAGAUUUUUAUAUAAAGAUUUGACUUAUUAUGCAAGCCUUUUUGAAGCCAUUUAAAAAACUCGCAGGUCGUGUUUUAUUAGGUCUAAAGCCACUCGCGCAGCGCGCUCGUGGCUUUAAACCUAAUAAAACACUCCUGCUCGUUUUUUAAAUAGUACAUAUACCACAGGUUUUCCUCACGUGUAUGCUCGCUCGGUGAUAGAAUAGGCAAAAUAAAAUGUGCCAAAAAUCUAAUCUUACCUACGGUUAAGUUAGAGCAAGCUGAAUCAUUUCCAAGUUUAUUCGAUGCAAUGCAUUUAUAUGUACAUUUACCAGCAUCACUCUCCAUUACUGGAGAUAUAGUAUACGUCUUGUUAUUACUGACCACGAUACCAUUACGUCUUAUGGUAUAUAUUGGUUCAGGAAAACCUUCAGAUUUACACGUUAUGACCACUGAUGUACCAAUUACUACAGCUGUGUUUGGCGUUAACGUUGUGUUCUUCGGUUUGG